rnacentral:rRNA from 1 species
UAAGCGGAGGAAAAGAAACCAACAGGGAUUGCCUUAGUAACGGCGAGUGAAGCGGCAAAAGCUCAAAUUUGAAAUCUGGCACUUUCAGUGUCCGAGUUGUAAUUUGAAGAUGGUACUCUGGAGUUGGCCCUUGUCUAUGUUCCUUGGAACAGGACGUCACAGAGGGUGAGAAUCCCGUGCGAUGGGGUGUCCAAUUCUAUGUAGAGUUCCUUCGAAGAGUCGAGUUGUUUGGGAAUGCAGCUCUAAGUGGGUGGUAAAUUCCAUCUAAAGCUAAAUAUUGGCGAGAGACCGAUAGCGAACAAGUACAGUGAUGGAAAGAUGAAAAGAACUUUGAAAAGAGAGUGAAAAAGUACGUGAAAUUGUUGAAAGGGAAGGGCUUGAGAUCAGACUCGGUAUUUUGCGAGCCUAUCCUUCGUGGAGAGGUUCAAACGCAGCUUACCGGGCCAGCAUCGGUUUGGAUGGUAGGAUAAUGACAUUGGAAUGUGGCUCCUCGGAGUGUUAUAGCCUUUGUUGAUACUGCCUAUCUAGACCGAGGACUGCGUCUUUGACUAGGAUGCUGGCGUAAUGAUCUUAAGCCGCCCG